rnacentral:lncRNA from 1 species
UUUUUUUUUCUUUUCAAAUCGUAAAGGAUGUGCAACGGCUUUUUUUUUUAAAAGAAAAUGCGUUUCAACGUACUUUGGGCGAGAGUAGUACAAGGAUGGGUGACCUCCUGGGAAGUCCUGGUGUUGUACCCCUCCCAUUUUAUUUCAUAUAAUGUUUUUUUUAGUUGCAUUUUCUCGACGUGGUGUAACUCAUUCGUUAUUUGCGUUUUCUGAAAUAAAUAACUUGAAACGAUAUUUGGUCGAAUUUGCAUUUAAAUUCAAGGCGCAAGUGCGAAAAGGGGCAGCCUUUAUAUGAAAAGAUUGCGCGAGAGUUGACGGGUGCGAUUAUACCAGCACUAAUGCAACGGAUCCCAUCAGAACUCUGUAGUUAAGCGUGCUUGUGCGAGAGUAGUACUAGGAUGGGUGACCUCCUGGGAAGUCCUCGUGUUGCACCCCUCCCAUUUUAUUUCAUAUAAUGUUUUUUUUUAGUUGCAUUUUCUCGACGUGGUGUAACUCAUUCGUUAUUUGCGUUUUCUGAAUUAAAUAAUUUGAAACGAUAUUUGGUCGAAUUUGCAUUUAAAUUCGAGGCGCAAGUGCGAUAAGGGAACCUAUUUUCUCUUGUAUUGACAACAACAUCCAUACUUAAUUGAACUAAAAUUUAAUCCGCAAAACAAAAUUCAAACUCAAAACAUUUUCCCUUGAUAGAGAGAGAUAGAAAGGAAAAAGUAAAUGAAAAAUGGAGAAAAGAGGGGGCCCUUUCCUUCACAAUGUCAAUCAUUUUAUCUUUUUAUCACUGUUUCAGAGUAGUGUAUAGGUGCAUGAUGAACCCCCUGCUUUUAAUCUCUUUCUCUUUUUCUACCUAUAUAAACACAUGAUCUCAAAUUUCAAAAUUCAUUCAAAGUUCAAGUUCAGUGAGGGAAAGAAAGCAGCAACAAUGGAAGAGAAUAAGAGAGAAAAGAAAACAGCGGGCAAAAGAGGGUUAUGGAAAGCUGAAGAAGACUUGAUUUUGAAGAACUAUGUGGAAACUCAUGGUGAAGGCAAUUGGGCCAAAGUUUCCAAAUUAUUGGGUAUGCACAUCUUCCCAUUUUUUAUUUAUCGAGCUUCUUGAUACCCUUUUAUAUUUCGGUAGUCUCAUUAGGUUUUGAUUAAAUUUGAUCUUUAAAUAAAAAAUUGUUGUUUUUUUCAUCUACAAUACUUGAUGUACUCGUUUAUGUUAAUUCAAUCUCUAAAUGAAAAAACAUUAUUUUGUUCAUCCACAAAACUCGAAUGUAAAAUCAUAUUUAUCGAAUUCCUUACUAUUCGAUACAAUUGUUUAUAUUAAUUUCUGUGUAUGCAUAUACAGGGUUGAAGAGAGGAGGGAAAAGUUGCAGGUUGAGAUGGAAGAAUUACCUAAGACCAAAUAUAAAAAGAGGUGCAAUGUCUAAGGAAGAAGAAGACCUUAUUAUUCGUAUGCAUAACCUUCUUGGUAACCGGUUAGUUUUUUUUAAAUGUUGUUUCGAAUUUAAAAUUUAAUCGUUAUACUUUAUUUUUACGUUAAUUGAUUUAAAUAGUCGACACACGAUUAAUUAUUUUAAUUAAUAUUGGGGCAAACAUUUUAAUUUAUUUGGAUUUAUUAAUGACAUUAAAAAAAUAAAAGAUUAAGUUAUGAUAAAUUAAAGUUUUCCUACUCUUUCACAAAAAAUAGUUUAGGGACUAAAUUCAAAACUAAAAUUAGGGGGUUUUUUGAAAAAAAAUGUGGGUGGGGGGCUCUUUCCAACUUUUAGUAAUGUGAUCACUCACUCCAUUUCUCAUAUGAUUUAGUAUACCACUUUAUAUUGAUGGUAACCAAUGUUUUAAAUUUAUUUAUUUAUUGUUAAUAUAUACAUUUAACCCAAUUAUUUUCUAUUUUUGUUCAUCUUCAUCCAAAAAAUUUCAAAAUUCAAUCUUAAUGAGAAGGUUGAAUAAUUCAGGUUUUGGUCCCUUGAUUAAUUGGUCUAAUUCACUUUUAACCCCUCUUAAACUUUAAUUAUUCAAUUCAAUCUUUUUUAGCCUCUUUAUUUAAUGAAAAUUUUGUAUUUUUAACCCCUAUAAAAAUUGAUAUUUUAAUCUAAGCCAUUUUGAUAGAAAAAUAUUUAGCUUUACCCUUUGAAUUUUUUAAAUUUUAUCCCAAAUUCCCCCGCCUCUAUAUGAGUUGUCAUCAUACUAAUAUGGUAAAAUUACUUCUAAAGUCCUUUAAAAUUAUAAAAUUGUUUUUUUAACUCCCAAAAAUUUAUAAUUCAGUUCAAAUCCUAAAAUUUUUUUCCCAAUCUUCACCCUUAUUGUUAUUUUAAUUUAUUUUAAUUAUAGUUAUUUGGAGAUAUUAAUUAUAAUCAUAAUUUUUAAUUAUAUUCAAUAUUUAAAAAAAAAACCUUUUUAUUGUAACAAAAUAUGUAGAUGGUCAUUAAUAGCUGGGAGAUUGCCUGGUCGAACUGAUAAUGAAGUGAAGAACUAUUGGAAUACCCAUUUGAACAAGAAAACCAGUGUUUUAGGCAAAAGAAAAGGCAAAGCCAUUGAUGAAUCCAACCAUCAAUCUAUUCCCAAUCAUCAAAACAACACCAAUACCAACAUUGCAAUCGAGAAUCAAGGCGGCGAAGAACCAAUAGCGCCACCGCCGGCCGAGCUGCCAAUGAUUUCGAGUCCGAAAACGACGACGGACGAUGAAGGAUCGAUGGGUUUGUUGAAGGUCGAUGGGUUAACUGAUAAUACAUGGAUGGAACGUGCGGUUCGUUGCUUUGAUUAUGAUUAUGAUAAUAAUUAUGAAAUUGAAACUCCAUUGAUGAUGAUGAACAAGAACCUUAAUUAUGCACAUAUGGUGUUCGACGAAGAGCCUUUUACGCCUUGUUUGGAUUCUUUCGUUCUUUUUGAAGCAUUCGGGACGGAUUCUGAUUUGGGAAAAACCCAACCGUUCUUGCCUUAGAACUAUCACCGCCGUCUCUGCCGCCGGUUUGCUGGCCCGGGAGUUGUUUUGUGUUGAGCGAGUAAAACUAGUGAAAAAAAAAAAGUGGGGGAUUAUAAUUUUAACUUAAAAUCCCAUAUGCUUAAGUUAAAAAUUAUAAUUCUUUUCUUGGAAAAAAAACUUUUUGUAGGAUUCAAUUUUAAAAAUUUAAAUGUUUUGUUUUAUUUUAUUUUAUUUUUUGUAAUAUCGGAAAUUCGUGUAUUCGUAUCAUGUAUAUGUUCGUAUUGUGUCGUACUCGUGUUUAAAUCUAUUAAAUGUUUUAAUAUUAUUUUCGAUAUUAUCUAUUUGUAUCGUUUUAUAUUUUAUUUUUUUCGUAUUAUAUUUAUAUAUAUAUUAAUAUAUAAUUAUCAUAAAAGAAUCAUGUAGGAAAAUAUGAACGUGUUAAAAAUUUCAAUUUCAAUUCUAAUUUUAUUUUUUUUCUUUUUCAUAAUCAAAUAAUGAAGUUGUUUACUAUCUGAAUACAUGAUAAAUUAGAUAUGUAUAUGCAUAUAUUGUACAGUCUAUGAAAAGUUUUUGCUUAUAAAUAUGGGAUUUUAUUAGUAAACACAUACACUAGUUUUUGGUUCAUAAAGUUUUUUAAUAAAAAUUAGUUUUUGUUAUAUAAUUAUAAUUCGACCGGAAAUUAAACCCGGUAUAAUAAGAGGCAACAGACAAUCCAAAGGAGGGGGCUUUAUCCUCUAGACUAGAACAUCAUCAACUUUCAUCUUGACUUUCGAUUUUGACCUCUGUGAUACCGUGUAUCAACAGACUCAGAUUAUCUUGUAAGCACUACUCCUAAACAAUAAAGUUCUGUUGGAUGAAAAUUAACAACCCUAAUACUCUAAUUCAAAACCGACCCAAAGUCGAAAUUGAUUCAAAAUUUUGUGCAUCAAGCUACCACAUAUUCAAUAUUUUCACUAAUGUUUCUAGGAACAGCCUGCUUUGCCAUCUAAAUCGGCUCGAAAACAGAAUGGUUUGCGUGCUAGAUUGUGUAAUGUCGCUUAUGUAGGAUGAGAUGAGACUGGUUGAUAUCCGCAUUACUUCACUGUAAAUCGGAGAAUGCGGAUGACUGACUUUUCCGGUAGCACGAUCAAUCUGAAAAUGGUUGAGAGUCCAUGCAGAGGUGCACCAAUUUCCUUUGAUAUUGACCAUAAAAUUCACCAACUGCAAUAACAUCUUCAUACUCUGGGUUUAAACCAGGCAAUUCAACCAUUGUAUCCUUAUUUGAUGAUGACGCUGACUCAUCAUCUGAACCUAAUACAUUAGUGAUAAUGUCUGCAUGAAUUUCGCGGCAAGCUAUUAUGAACAUGGAAGCCGUGUCCGGUUGUUGUGCCUUCCGGAGGGCUGCUAAUGCCUCCUGCAUUGCCCCGGCCGCAACGAACAAAAUCAGUGCCCUGCAUUGAACCGUCUCAAGCUUAAGAACAAAAAAAGAUUGUGCAUUCGGUAAUAAGUUCGAUACGGAAAUUGCUUGUACACCUCCAAAUGUUGUGUUCUGCAGAAAGGACAUGAUCAGCCCACCUUUGUAAAACCCUGCAAAAACAACAAUCCGAAAUGAAGUUGCGGUAUAAUCAAAGGCAAAGUAACUUAAAGGACAAGAAAUCAGAAACCUUGCAUAAUCAGAUCCCUUUAAAUGUGCUGCUGCUAAAGUAGCAGCAUCAGUCCAGCAUCCAGCAUCUUGUAGCUGUGUAAGAGUUAAAAGAAACCAUAGGAUGAAAUACUCGAAACAGGAAGAUGAAUACGAAGAAUCCCUACGGUUGUAUAAUGUUGAUAAACAAGUAAAUGGGAAGCAUUGAGUUUGAUUUCGAUAGUUGCCUUAUUGUUUCAACAAACAGAACCUAACCUGUGAACAAGCUUCUUGAUACCUUCCAACGGCACAGAGAAGAUGAAUGCCGGAUAAUGACCGGUCGGUUCUCACCAUGUUAGCAGCAACAACCUAGAUGGAUCAAGAUUCUAAAACCAAGAAAACGACAUGUUUUAAUCAAAGAGAAAAAUGAAUUCAGGGGCAACACUCACCUUAACUGCAAGCUCAAGAAGAGACCUUGACACUGCAGAUGAAAGAGCAACAGCACGUAGAGCAUUCGGAUAGAAGUAAGGGCUUUCCGGUGAAGUGGACAGCAAUAAACUAACAGCACCUUCCAAAUUCCCAACCGAGACAAGACUGUUCAUGACGCAUACAAGUUAUGGUUACUACUGUGGCAGCCAUAGAAUAACACAAGAAUAUGUAUUUGGACAUGGUUAUGUGUCCAACACGAGCAUAUUCGAGUUUUUUAAGGUUUUUAUGUAUUUGGAGGGUCUCCUCGUAUCCCCAUACCCUAGAUAUGUGUGGGACAUUGGUGUUGGACACUUGAGUACUUCAAGAAAAAUGCGUAUUACAAUUACUAGUGUAAUUGCAGCGACUUCACCGAUCAACAUUUAACCGUAGCAAUGAAGUAACAUAAAGGUUGUGAACUCACUCGUGUAUACGGUUCUGAAUUGCCUCUUCUCCCUCCAAUUUCUCAUGCCAAGGGAUACGCUCAUUAGCACUUUUCCAUAAGUCUUCUUGGUCAAAAGCCAUUAACCUAAGCUGACCUUUACUCUGCUACCAGAAAACAUGUGUUGCCAACAAAAGUUAUGCAAGACCCCUAAAUGGUAACCUCACCCUUUGAACCAUUAGAACAUAGAACAGCUAGUAAACCAUUAAAGACUUACCAAAGCAUCCCCCCAUCCGGUCUCAGGUGCCAAUUUCCCCUUUGAUGUAAUUCUACUAAGUAGAGCUGUGUCAUCAAGCUCUGAAUCUUCCAAAAAAGGUACCUUCUCCGGAGACUUUUUUACUAAUUUACUCAUCAAGUGGUUCAUAGCACGAGGCAAUUGCAACCAGAAAAGUGCUUCUGAGACCUCACCAAAUGUAGCAGCUGCAAAGGCAAACCUUGCAGCACAACCCUUAUUGACAAUGGUGGCAUACAAUCUAGCCCUUUCCUCAUCAAAUAUGCAGCCUUGAGCAAUGAACCAAUGGGGAAAAAAAAAAGGGAUAAGAAAAAAACCAAUCAAAUUUUCAAUAAAAGAAUUAGGUACACACUGAAUAGGUUGUAGGAAACCUGCCUUCCUUCCGGUAAGGUUCUAAUACUUUGAGGAGCAAUUCUGGCACUACAGAAUCACCGACAGGUGGUAAUUCGAUCAUGUAACUGCGAAGAUCCCCCGUGGAUGAAGUAGUUCUUGUAAUGGAUUGGGGCCUUCUAUCUAUAGCUGUUGUACCUAAAGUAUUAAACCAAGAGGGUUUUACACCUAACUGUAAGAUCAUUCGCAGUGCCUGUAAUAGAAGACAUGAAAAUAGAUCAUUCUUUGAAUACUCAUUUAACCUUUGACGCAAUAUACAAUUAAAAUGAAGCUUUCACAGUAAGCAGAAACAAGGUCAGUAUCCUAUUGCAACUCAAGGUAAAUUACUAAUGCAGUUACUAGUUAGCCAUUAGUGUAUUAACUUAGCACCAUGUAAAUGCACAACAUGGUACCUAGUAAUAUCAAUUACUAAACCAUAAAGGGAAGAAUAAUUCUUACCAAUGCAUGAGGUGUCGGAAGCAAUAUGGGACAACAUAAAGGCAUCGGUCGGAAUCUCUCUUUUAGAUUUCGAGGCUGCCGUCCAGGGAUCCUUCUCUUAUCAUUUCUGUAUGAAUGAGUGAGGUUACUGAACUACAGAGUAAGUGAGCUUUCACAUGAAUCAUAUAGCAUAACAUUAUUCGUUUCAUCUCGAAACUAAUGCACUGAUUGUUUUCAUCACGUACCUAACCUUUCCAUCUCUUUGCUAGCCAUUCCAAACCUAUCACACCCUGAGUAAAUUAAUUUACAGUAACAAACUAUGUUGCCCUGAUUGUUCUUUUCUUUAAGUACCGUGUCCAACACUCAUGCCUAUACUCACCCAGGUUCGAGUAAGUUAGGUUAGGUCUUCUUUGCACCAUGUAAACUAGAUCUAACUACAAUGAAGAGAAGAUUGAGAAUUGUGAACAAAUUGUGGCACAUACAUGUUAACCUCGUAAAGGCGGAAGCUACUAUCAGCUCCUGCAAUACACAAAACCAGUGGAUCAUUCUCAGUCCACAAAGGCAACCAAUCCAAUUCUAAUACAAGGGUUCCAGGACAUAGAGGUUGUAAAAGAGAAUUGACUAAUGGUUCUGGCGAAUCCUGCAAAUACCAAAAUAUUGAACAUUAAGUUCAAAUGUAGAAAUACUCUUCCAAAGGUCCUCCAGGAAGCCCCGUUGAAGGGAAGAAGCAGUGGUAAAUGCAUUUUGACACUUACAAGAUCAAAUACAGAAAAUGUAUUGUCAUAAAAUAGUACGGCAAUGCGCCCUCGACUAUGGUCCCCAGCAACAGCGGGUGAGAAUUUGAUUCUUCGGAUUCCUUCUCUAUGAGUGUUAAAUGAGGAAGAAUGUCCAGUAGUUACAUCCCACCACCUGACGACUCCUGACCUGUCCCCCAUAACCUGAGAAAUGAAUGAUGUUAGUGGCUACAGAUAUAUCUUCAAAGAAACAAGAAAAUAUAAACUACCAAUUGGAUGGGGUCAUUUAAGAUACAAUACGUACAACAUGAGGCAAGCGGUAUGCCAUGGCUGUAAUCAAUCCAUCAGAUGAAACAAAUGAAGAAGAAGGCCAUUUUGGUCUGCAGACAAGCAAAUGAUCCUUGUUAAUGCAAGAGUUACAUCCUUUCAAUAACAUGUAGACAUAAGCUGGCUCCAUAACCAUGAGUAUGAAUACAAAUUAUACCUGAAGUCUCGAAUCCUCCGGCCAUGAACCUCAAAGACUCCAAGUGCACCAUUAACUAAGGCAAAAGCAAAACUCUCGGAACUGUCGUCGUGCGAGCCAUCCGAGCUCCCUGUCUCUGCAUAUGGAAGUUACACUCAUAACCGUGUAACCCUUCAGGUGAGAACAGUGGUCUAAAUACUGAUUGAUGGGAAGUAAAGAAUCCUACUAGUAUCCGAUGAAGAUGCCGUUGUGGAUGAGGCUGCCUCUUCUGAAGCUGCAGCUGCAUUACCGUUAGGGGAUAAUGGAGAUUGCUUAGAGGGACCAUUUUGAACUGGUCGGGGAACUGUUGGAAGAGUCCAUUCCAAUACCGUGAACGGAAGAGCUAAUGAUCUAAGCUACAUGGAAGUAUAGGUCAUGUUAAUUUAUACAUGUUUGAUCGGAAAAAUCAGAAUAAAAACAAAGUCAACGAGAAAAAAAAUCAAGCACUGAAUUUAAACCAUAAGGUGAUUCUGUCUCAAUAUAAGAGAAUCCUUCAUCUUGCUACUUUAUUACUGGCAAUUUGCGAAGCCAAAUGAAAUGUCAUAAAGCCAGCAAUCAAGUCAAAAUAUAUUCAUACAGAAAGGGUAUAUAGUGAAAUAAAGCUCACUGGACAGUGGCUAGAAACCACAAAAUAAGAAGUUAAAUAUCAGAAAUGUUACAACCCAUAUAGAGAAAACCUUAAGUAACAAUCAAACUUACCAUAAUUGGAUUUUUUGUCAUUGCCCAAACCUCAACAGGUGCAUCACGAAAUACAAUCAGAAGAUACCUAAAAAGGUUAAAACAUGACAGUAUAUCACAUACUUUCUGAGGUCUCUUGUCUACCACCAAUGCUAAACCACUCCCUUAAACCAAUAGAGCAAGUGGUUGAGGCUCUCUGUUGGCACCCCAAGGAUCAGGGUUCAAACACGGCUACUGCCAUCCCCUCCCGAAAUUGUAAAUAGUAAAAUGUACCAAAAAAGCAAGAGAAUUUAGGAGUAGAGAAAACCUUCCAGAGGAUGAUGCCCUCAAAGCUCUUACAGGUGCACGUUCUGGCUUUUGUAAGGCCCGGAAAGUUCUAUUAAGUCCACUUCUAAGACAAGUCACAACAAGUCUGUUAUUGUAGCCUCCAAUUUUCUCACUCACCUGACUCCACAAUAGUACUAAUAUUAAGUAAUAAAGCAAAUGAUGUUGAAGAAAAAGAAAGGUCGGCCUAGGGAAAGUAGGAACUAAUUACUAGCUAUCAAUGCACAAAACAAGCAACACUGUUGGAAACUUAAUAUGUUUACCUCUGUGUAAGAAAAUGAAACCAGCCUUGAAUUCCCAAGCCAUCUUAGACCCCUCACUUUACUACUAUGAACCGAAAAUCCGGCUGCAACGGCAUUGGCGGAGACAUCGAUGACAUCAAUUGUCCCAUUUUGAGUACCCAAAGCAACUAGUGGAACAGCUACUGCAGGGCUAUUUCCACCACCUUUCGCAUAAUAUCAUGUGAUUAAUCAACUUGUAAAAAGCUUAUAUACUGGCAAUUGUUUGAGAAGAAGUUUAACAAAAAAUUGAAAUUCAGAAGGUGGAACUAACGGGCCAAUGUAGCGGUUAAAGAAGGGGAUGGCACUGCCAGCAUGGUCACUGUUGAAGAAAGAAGCUGAAGCUGUCCUACUAAGCUAAUCUGCAGAAGUUAUUUGGCAUUGAAGUAUGCAUGAUAAAGCCAAAGAAUUUGUUCGCAUAUAUUAGCUAGCUUUCAUCUUGUUCAUCCAUGUGCAGCUAUGUCAAUAAAGUUUCACUAGGAAGUUGUUUCAUACACGGUCAAUGCGUUAAAUAUAAACCCAGAAAUUAAAUGGACCGUUUAUUUGCAGACCUUAAAUGUCACAUCGGGUCGGGCAUCGGUCGAGUUUGACUGCUGAAUUCUUGCACCAUUCACUUUGUGAAGCUGCCUGCCACCAUCUGCAGUAGAUUCAUCAUUAGAAGAAACUGUGGUGUUUGCAUUAGUUGAUUCUUCAAAGACAUUGGCAUUUCUCCCUGAACUUAUAGCACCAUUCUGCAUAUCUCCAGUCCCUUCAGCGGUCAAUAUCCAGCUCCAUAGUUUGCCAUCAUCAGAAAUGGAUAUCAAAUGUGUUUUAGAAACAAGGAGAGUAUCAUCACAAAAAUCAAAAGGGUUAUCGAAAUCAAUAUCAGAUGCAGCAGUUGAUAAUUUAGAACAAAUCUUGCUGAUGUUUUGUAGUAUGGGCUCUGAUUGGCUGAUAAGGACUGAAAGGAAUGAUGGUGAAGGGACAUAUGAACCAAAUGAUGGCAUCAAGUCUUCCAUUGUGCACAUUAUAUGUAUCUGUUCUCUGUGAUAUAAUAUCCAAAUAAGUACAUUCCUUUUUGUGAUUUAAAAUGUCAUUAACAUCUAAACUCAGUAAAAAAAGAAGUAUCUAUAUAUCAAUAUGAUUUAAAAUGUGAAGAAAAAAUAAAAAUCUGAAGCUUCAACUUGCAGUGACAACAAAGUAUAUCACCAUGGAGAAAGAAUGGUAAAAGUACUGAAUAGGUCCCUAUACUAUAGUGCAGAGUGCUUUUUGCUCCCUAUACUUUUACAUUGAGAAAAAAAGGUCUCUAAAUGUUAGAAAAACAAGCAAGAUAAUAAUUUUUUAAUCAAUUAGAAAGAUUAUUAAUUCUACGAGAAUGACUUAAUUAUAUGAUAUGGUAUUAAUUUAGAAUAUGAUUAAAUGAGGUGACGACCAUUGUAAUUUAAAAGAAUUUAACUCAACCUGAUUUGAUACCUUACAUUUAAAUGUAAUAGUUUGAGUUUUUAAAGUUAUAAUAUAUUGAUUGAACAUAGCAUGUUGUAUUUUAAAUUGUUAUAAAAGUAUCAUUUUGCUCAAUUUUCUACUGUAUAUGGACUUUUUUGCUAAUUUUAAAAGUACAGGGACCAAAAUAUUUCUUACUUUACGUCGCAUAGUCCCUAUCUCGUAAGAACCUUCUUUGAAACAUUUCCUAAUUUAGUCACAAAUUUUCUCAUUCCUUAAAUGACCCAAAAUACAGCGCAUUGUAAAUUAGUGGUCCAGUUUUAGUUUUAGUCUCUCUAAUAUAGUUAAAUAUGACAUUUAGUGGUCCUAAUUCCGAGACUAAUGUGAACAAAAAAAAAUUUCAAGGACCAAUGUGGAAAAUUUUAACUAGUUCAGGAAAAAUACGUAAACAUAAAAUGGCGUCAAGUUUACAAUGCAUAAAGUAUCCUAGUAAAAAAAAUUCAAGGACCACGGUGGAAAAAGUUACCUAGUAAAGGGACUAAAAACAGAAUUAGACCUAAAUUUGAAGUAAGCUAUUUAAUAGCGACAAGUUUAAAUUUCAGUAAAAAAUACGUAAACAUAAAAUGCUUACUCUUUCCUUUGCCAGAUACUGAGCUUCCCAUCGAUGUGAGCACAAUAAACCAGCUCCUGGUUUGUGUCGGGUAACACAUCAAGGAACUUGGAGCACCCGCGAGGCAAUGCGGCGGAGAACAGCGUCGUUUCGUACUUCAUAUCGAAAACCACCAGUUCCCGAGGGAACGUCACGUAAAUCACAUGUUCCCAGUGCGGCGAAAACGCCAAACGCACCGCGUACAGGGGGAAAACGGCGGAAGCGGGAGUCGAAGUAGAGCUCCCGCCGGUAGCGGCGGCGGCGGCAUCUUUUUCUAGCUUAAGUAUUUCCUUACAUUUGGUUCGGAUCAAAAACUUCUUGAGGGCAAUAUCUUCUUCUGAUUCUCCCAACACUUUGAUGGAAAGAAGGAAUCCUUUGAGUCCGAUGAUACACAAGUGGCGGGAAUCGAACGGAUCGCGGCGGACGCAAGAGAGAUAUUCCGGCGAAGCGUCAUACUUGAAGAUGAAACGGCAAGUGGAAGUGUUGUAGAGGGAGAUGUGAGAAGGACCGGAGAGGGCGGCGAGGAGGAAAGAAUCGGGUCGGGCCUGGACCCAACAAAGGUCCUGGACACCCGUUUUAGAAGAAGGAUCUGGCGGAUCGAUGGAAAGGAUGAUUGAACGGAGGCGGAAGUCGAGGAGAGAGAUACGGCCGUGGCGGUCGGCAGCGGCGAGGAUGAGGUGAGAAGAGGAAGGUUCGGUGGCAAGAAGGUCACGGCGGGGAGGGAGAGGGGUCCACCGGACGGAAGUGACGAAAGGGGAGAGGGAAGCGGUGGAACUGGAGGAAGGAGAAUGUGAAGGGAGGGGGACAGUGGUGACGAGCUGGAGGGAAUUAGAGUCAACGACAGAGACGGAGGAGCCGGAGGCGAAGGCGAGGAGGCCGGAAGGGCUGAGAUCGGCGGAGCCGAAAUUGUUGCGGCUGGGCGGGCCGGGAAGCAUGCAAUUCCACGAUUCGUUGGGCAACGGUCGAAGUAUUGGACUCGACAUUUCUUUUCUGUAAACUGAAAAUUUGAAAAUUCGUUAAAAUUUUAUUUUUUUGUAAUGAUAUGACUUUCCCUCGUUAGUUAGUUGGUUUUAUUUGCUUAUCAUCAGGGUUAAUUUCAUCACAAGUCCCCAAACUAUGGAUCCAAUUUUAAAUCAAUCCAUAAACUUCAAAACAUUCCAAUCGAAUCCUCAAACUAAAGCAUUUUUCCAAUCAGGUCCUUCUAUCAGUGCUUUAGCAUCAAAUACCAGCCUGUAUCUCUCGUAGAUAAUACUAUAGUUUGAGGAUUCGAUUAAAACAUUUUUAAGUUUUUUUGUACCAAUUUAAAAAUUAGGUUAUAAUUUGAAGACAUAUAGUGUAAUUAACCCUUAUUAGUUUUCUUAUAAUUUUUCGUUAAGAGAACCGUUAAGCUUGCCUGAGACGAGACUCUAGCCUGAAAAUACUCCUUGCAAGGAAAUUGCUUUAAUUUUACACUCUUUUUUCCCCAAAAAUAGUAUUUAUUUGCUUUAUUUUUUCCCUAUUUUAAAAUUUUAAAAAUCAAAUAUAUAAAAUAAAAUUUUGAGAAUGCCGAGUUAGUCUUGAAAUUGAUUUUUCUGACACCGACGAAAAUAAAAGCAUUACAGUAUUGAUAUAUAUAUAUAUAUAUAUAUGUUUGGAUAUAAAGCUUUAGAUUGUAUUAAUUAAAAUUGGAAGGUUACAAAGUAUUAUCAACAAAAAUAAAAUUUUAGACAAAGUCGACUCGAUCUUCGAAAUAUUUAUUAUUUUAUACCUCUAAUAAAAUUAUGGUACCAUUUAGUAAAUUCUUUACGUGAAUAAGUGAGGUUCUUGAAAUCAACUAUCAAGUAACCUACAGUAGAAAUAUCCUUUGACAUUCACGUCAUUUCUUAUUGCAGUUUGGAGUUGAUGCAAAUGUUUUUGAAGAAAUUCAAUUCUGCUUUGAUUCUUAAGUGCCUCGGAGAUCGAUAUGCUAUCGUUGCUUUUCUCCCUAUAACCAUUCUCAGUAACGUAAAUUGUAAGGUUUUUGCUGUAGUUUUCCUUCAUAAGCUUCAGAAGUUUAGAAAGACGUCCUUUGGGAUAAACGUAAAGAAAUAUACUCCCUCCCGCAUUUGGACCAAUAAGGACUCCAUCUUUGUCAACUGUGGCAUUUUACAUUAGAAUCUACCAAGUAGCUAGCUGAUGCAGCAUUUGGAGUAGAUGGAAUGUUUUUAGCAUAUCUUGAGGUAUAAUAAUUGACGCCGAUGAAAUCAAAAGAUCCUUUGACUAGCUCAUUUUGUUCCAGUGUGAAAACAGGUAGCCUAUCUUUAACCAAUCUUCUCAUGCUUUCUGGGUAUUCUCCGUGCAUCAAUGGUUCCAUAAACCAUCCCAACUCAAAAUCCAUACCUCUUUUUGCUGCCUCUUUAUCAAGUGAUGUGUUUGAAUAUGGCUCAUAAUAAUGGGAAUUAAGGGCUAUUCCAAUUUGUCCACCUUGUGUUGCCUGGUACUCCUUUUUGUAAAGCUAAGCAGCUGUUGCAUGAGCAAGAAGAACGUUAUGGGCAACAAUAUGUAAGGUUCAGUGGCUGCAUUACCAUUGGGACAAAUUUUCCUAUCUGAACAUCUUCCCGGUGGACCCACUCCCAUGGCAUACCCCAUUUUGGCCAUAAUUAGUGGCUCAUUCAUUGUAAUCCAAUUUUUAACUCGAUCUCCGAAUGUUUUAAAACAAAUUUCAGCAUAAUCCUUGAAAUCAUUCACAAUGCUAUGAUUUAAGAAGCCUCCAUACUUGCUUUCAAGGGCUUCCGGGGAAUCAAAGUGCAGUAUUGUCACAUAGGGAUCGAUGCCAUUUUUAAUCAAGUCAUCGAUGAAACUGUUGUAAUGAUUGAUACCCUCUUGAUUUAUUCCACCACCCAAAGUUCCAUCGGCUAAAAUCCUUGUCCAAGGAAUGGAAAAUCUAUAAGCAUUAACGCCCAGGUCUUUCAAAAUCGAUACAUCUUCCUUGUAGCGAUUAUAUGAAUCAGCAGCUACCUCCAAGUUGCUAUUGUCUGUUUUUUUUUCUGGAAAUUCUCGAAUAAACUGGUCCCAAACACUCGGCCCUUUCCCUCUAAAUUUAGUUGAUCCUUCAAUCUGCACAGCAGCAGUCGAUCCUCCGAAAAGAAGAUUAUCCGGAAAAUCUGACCUCUUAACACUCACAUAUUCUUUUUGGGAUUCUUGAGUUGGUUGACAAUUGGAAGACAAGCAAGCAAGCAAAACAAAGACAAAGAUCCUUACCAAACACUUAGUUGCUGAAAUCGACAACAUCCCUUAUAACCUUGCAGUUUCUGCAGCACUUACAAGGUUAACAAUAAAAAGAAAUUAAAGCAUUCGAGGCCGACUGUGGAAGGAUUCAUGGAGGAACCACCUUUUAUAUAUGAGUACCCAUCAAACCUAUCUAACAAAAAUCCUAGUUUACAGUCAGUUACUAAACUAAUUGUCAAUCGCUAACCUGCUUAUCCCAAAAUAGGCAAUAUUUUAGUAAGUUUUAUAUUUAUACAAAUAUGUUUUAAAUUAUUAUAAUAUUUCGAUUUAGUGGUAAGAAUAUCGUGUUGUUGUGAUAUAUAAAAGUUUACAUUUAAUAUUUAGCAACAACACCCUCUAUAUUUAAUUAAUCAUACCCAUAUAUUUUGAAAUGGUGGUUGACAAAUCUUAUUAUUUAUUUAUUUUAUUCAUUCUUUAAUAAUUGAAUAAAUAAAACUCAAAGUCAUUAAACUAUUAGUAAUUUCAUUUUUUGGUCGCUCAAUUUAAAAAAAUUUAUCAAAUGAUGACUGAACUAUUUGAAAGUUUCCAUUUAACUGGACUGUUAAAAUCGUUGUUGUAUGACAUUUUCUAUUUGUACCGACUACAUCAAUUAAAAGCUCUUAUUCUCCUUCUCUUCUAUAAUUUAAUUCUUUUUUUCAUGAAACAAUUUUAAUAUCACAAAUUUGAGAACGAAAAUUCAAAUAGUUUUUUUUUUAUCUCUGAUAUUGACCGUCAAAUCCACUUAGAUUGAUAAGAACUCGGUUCGGUGUUGAUUCGAGUCAUUUAGAUUGCCCGAUCGUGAAAUUAAGUAAGUUGUUAAACUUAUAGCAAAAUAGGCUGGAAAAAUGAAGAAUAAGUUCAGGAGAAAAGGAUGCAAAGAGGGUUUAGGAAAAUGGAAUAUUAGAUUCGGCUAAGACCAAGAGUGAACCAACAAUAUAAGGGAAUGUUGACCCAAAAUUUAUACGGCACUUAAAGAUAAUUCGGUUCAGAAAACAGCAAACAAAAACCUUGACCCACCAUCUAACAAGAUAGGAAUCAAAGGUAUAACAAACGCCACACUUGAAGUGAUAAGUUCGGAUAUCAAAGGAACUAAAGAAAAUUAAAACAACUGAAUUAAUUAAACUAAACAUAUUAAAAGUUCAAUCCGGCAAUUAGAUUAACAAUCUGAAAUUGGAACUUCAUUUUGCACUUGAGCCCCUCGUGCUUGGGCCAAUUCCGACUUCGUCGAGCCGUAUCGUAACAUGAUGCGGCCGGGAUUGUAUCAUAGAUCCAUAGUAGGUUCUUUUAGUUGUCAAUGAAUACUAAUUCACAGUAUCGAUUAUCAAAUCGUAACUUAAAACUUGCUACUCAAAUUUAAAAAAAAAUUAAUGAUAUAAUGAUUUAAAUAAAAAAAAUUUAAUAAUUUAAGGACGUAAAUCAAUACUUUCAAAUAAUUCAAUAACUAACUAUUUUGUAACCUUUUAAAUUGAAUAUUUUAACUAUUUAAUAAUUUAUCUUUUUUCAUAAUAACAAAGCCAACUCAAACAAAGUAAAAGAGAGAAAGAGGGGGGGGGAUAAGAUGAGAUCAUAAAGAGAACCUUAGGUGUAACUAUAAGAUUGAUAAUGGCACUUGUGUAUAGAAGAUCAAAAUAAGGUUUUUCUCCUCAAGUUGACGCCUUUUGGGUUCAGAUUUUAGCAUGACAAAAUCUAGGGAUUCAGUCUCUAAAUAUAAUAAAAAGUAAAUAAUUAAAUAUCAUGAACACAACUUGAAAAGAAAAAAGGGUAAAAUUUCAAGCUUCAUUUACAAAAAUAGAGUAGUUGCAAUUGUACAGUUCAUAUACAAGGAGAAGCCUACAAGAUAUGAUGACUUGGAAAAAACUUACAAAAAAAAAAAAAAACACAACCAAAACUAAGGUUGUAGUAAUGGUGGAUGAGUCACUCAUCCGCCAUAACCAAAGAUCAUCAAUCUGUGAGUGUGACCACACCAAACAUAGAACUGUUCAAAGCCACCAUUACAUAACACAGAGACAAAAGGAAAUACAGACAAGACCUACCCUUUGAAAAAAAAGCAAGAUGAGAUUUGAUCUAAAACCAACAGACUUUUAUGACUGAAAACAAAAGCUAAAACACCGGGUAGCAGCAGGACGGAAAAAGCUAUGGUGGUGGUGGUGGUGGUGGUGAUCAUGAGUGGAAACCUAAAACCGGGAACCAUGGCUAUCGAGAAACAGGCUAGCUCAUGUGUCGGGAGAGCCUGUAAAAAAAAUAAAGGGAUGGUUUUAUAGGCCAUCUCUUAAAACUGUGCCAAAGUUCCUGGGAAACAUCAAGUGUAGAGCAACCGGCAGGACCACCUUGUCGGACCAAAAAAAAAAAAAACUGCAGCGAAUGUUUGCUACUACCCGGUCUUGUGAGCCGACUAUAUGAGUUUAAUGUUCAGAUCUCAACGGAGUUGUAUCCAUGAUUAGAAAAGGAUGUCACAUUUCCAUAGGGUCUCAACGAGCAGCUCAACGGUUCGAAUGCUGAUUGAAUUGCAGUGCUGGAGAUUUAACCCCAACAAUGUCUUGCCUAGUUUUUUCAAGGAAGACAAGCUUUUGUUUGAUACUCGGGAACAACCCGAAAAAGAAAGGACUUGUAAGUUGAGUUGCUCGGCACGAGACAAGGCAGCAACACCAGAAUCGGUAACUGCUGACCUUGAGACAUCCAGAUCACUGAGGAAAACACAACUUUCUGCUAUUGCCAUCAAACUUGCAUCCGUAAUCCUCCUGCAACCAUCAAGAUUGAGCAACUCAAGGGUUCCACCGUGCAGCCUGGUUAAGGCCAAAACUACUUUGUCGGUUAUAUUUAAGCAUCCGCUCAAAUUCACCUUCACGAGUCCAGCCUCACAACUCUCCAGAAGAGGCAGAAGACCUGCGUCCGUGAUCCCACACAACCCACUCAGAUCUACAUGCUGAAGCUGAGGGCACAAUCUGCCCACCACAGCGAGGCCAGCAGUCCCGAACCCAGGACAGUUCCUUACUGACAAUGAUUUAAGGGAAUUGCAGCACGACAAAGGAACUUCCGAGGAUAUAUCCUUAAUUCCCAUGCACUUUACUACGGUAAGGGAUUUUAACGAACAGUUUGAGAGGACACCAAUAGUCCCGGAUUGGGUGAUCCUGUUGCACUCCUCCAACUGUAAGGACUCAAGAGAACCUGCAGAUUUGGCAAAAGCCACCAAUCCGUCAUCCGAAAUAAAGCAACACCGGCGAAGGCACAUCUGCCUCAGGUUUGCACAUCCCUUUCCCAUGGCUUCAAGACUCACAUCUGUUACCCCCCGGCAGGAUAUGAUCGUCAAAGAGACCAACUUUUGUAAGCCUUGAGCAUUCCCCAUGACCCAAAAUCCCUUCUCGCUCACGUUUUCUAGGCCGCUAAGCAUUAGAUUUGUCACCGACUUGCCAUAGUGACCGAUCACAGCAAGAGAAAAGUCUGUGAUAUUCAAACCCUGAAAUUUAACCUUUGAAAGGACAGAAGAUGUUGACGACAACAGGCUUGAAACUCCGUGAUCCCCAACAAGAAGGCAGUCCUUGAUGGAGACAGACUGCAACUUAGGGCAAAGCUUUCCGAUAGCUUGAAGGCCUUCGUUCCCGAUCUUGGGGCAAGACUCGAUGCUCAAAGAGGUCAAAUUAGGGCAGUUCUCUGCAAUUGCAAUCAAACCCUUGUUUGAAAAUGAAGGGCACUGGCAAAGGUCAAGCUUCUCCAACAAAUGGCAUUCUUUAGCUAUCUCAGAGAGACCUUCAUCCCCAACACGAGGCACGUUCCACAAAGAAAGUGCCUUGAGAGAAGGGCAACCACGAGCAAUGGCUGAUAGCCCGAAGUUGGUUACUCCACUUGAAGAGCUGCUUCCCCUAAUUGAAAGCUUUCCCAACCCACCAUGACCACUCGUUCCAACAGCAACUGCAGCUAGCCUCAUGUCAGUUGCUUUCUUCCCUUCCAAGCACCUCGUAAGAUACCCAUCAUCUUCAUCAGAAACUGAAUCAGUAUUCUCCUUGACCGCCUUCGAGGAUUCGUACUCACCCUUGCGAAUACUGAUCAAAAGCAUAAGCCAGUGCUUUGAUACACAAGCACAAGAACUCCUUUCCCUGCCGCCUGGAAGUCGUUUGAAGAUCUCGAAAAGGCACUCGUCAGGAAGGACAUCGAUUGAAGCUUGCUUGCUCUGCUCAAACAAAGUUUCUCCAACAACAAACGGGGCAGUAAUUCGAGCUCUUUUACGAGGAGGAUAGUAGACAUCCACUUGGGAACUGAUUGAACACAACCUACCCAAAUCUGUGGAAUUUGUAUAAAAAGAACCCCCAGAAUAGAAAUCAUCAUCACCUGAAAUUCCCAACAAAGAAAAAUCAAUAACCUAAAACUACCCAAAGAACAUAUAAAGCUCCUUCAAGGAUCUAAUCCAAUUCUCAAAUCAUAUAUUCAAAGCUAACCCUAAGCUAAAACAAAAAUAACCCGUAGCUCAAAAUCAAAACCAUGUCUCCUCAGUGAGACAUAACAUCAAACACAUCAACUACAACAACAAAGAACAAUCAAUAACCUAAAACUACCCAAAGAUCAUACAAAGCUCCAUAAAAUUUCCCACUUUGAUACAAAUCUUCAAGGAUCUAAUCCAAUUCUCAGAUCAUAUAUUCAAAUCUUGCCUGAGCUAAAACAAUAAGAACCCAUAGUUUAAAAAUAAAAAAAACCAUGUCUCUUCAGUUAGAAAUAACAUCAAACACAUAAACUACAACAACAAAACCUUUCAAUCUAGCAAAAAAAGAAAAACAGAUCUACAAAAUUAAAAAAAGCUUACCACCGUAAUUAACAAGAGCAGGCAUGGUUGAAUAAUCCCAAACAAAGAAUCUUUCAAUGAAUCCACCAACACCAAAACGCAACAAAACGCUAGCAAAACGCAAACCAAGUAUACCCUUUGAAAGCUUGAAUGCAUCUAAGAAAUUUGUUUAGAAGAAAAAAUUCAUAAACCCCAACAAGUAGGGCAAAAAAAAAGAGAGAUUGAAAGAAGAGAAAAAAAAAAAAGGAGAAACUUGUUUUUUGUGUUGAACUGAAACAGAACAUAAGAGGAUGUAUAUAUUUGGUUGGAAAAAACUAGGAAGAUGUCAUGUCUUAGAUUUUUUUUUUUUUUAUGUUUUUGUUGCAGAUACAUUAACUGACAAGUUCUGCUAUAUGCAAUGUAUCUUUCCAUAGAACCUGUCUUAUUAUUCUCUUUUUUUUAUUAUUUUCUCUCACUUUCUUUUCUAACCAAACAACCGGUUAACCCCUUUUGGCCUAUGUUUGCCCAAUUUUUAAGAUAAAACUUUGUAUGUGGUGGUGGAUUUGAAAUUGUUUGGUUUUCUUUUUCUUUUAUAUAUAUAUUUAAUUUCUAAUUAAAUAUAUAUAUAUAUAUAAACCACCAGAACUUAAUAUAAUCUUAACUUUUAAAGGAAGAAAUUUAAAUAAUUUAAAUUUAUAAUUAUCUUACACAUUGGAGUGACUUAAACACAGAAUGACUCGAACCAAAUUGAUUCGAAAAUCUUAAAAUUUUAUUUGAGUUUUUAAAAAUAUCCUCUUAUUAAUAUUUUAUAAAAAUAUAUAAAAAUAAAAAUACUUUUAUAUUAAUAAUUAUUCUAAAAACAUAUUUAAUUAAUAGUUUUUUAAAAAAAAAUUAACUGAGUUAACCUCCGAUUUAUUUGUGACAUUAAUUUUCAAUAAAUAAUAUUGAUUCAGAAUAUAAAAAUUAAGUAAAGAAUAUUUGUUUUAAAAAAAUUGGAUAACAUAAACCUCUACUUUUUUGAUAAUUACUUUAUUUAACUUUAGAAUAAAGAAAUGGCUAAUAUUGCAUUCAAGUAACAUUGAACUUAAUUAUGGGCGGUGCAUAAGUAAUUAUUUUAGGGACUUUGCAUGCAAGAUUCUUGAAGUAUCUUGCAAUUAUGAUUAAUUAUUUUUUUUCUCAAGUGGAGAAUAUCAUUUUCAAUUACAUCAUUUCUCUUUAAUUAUGAGUUUGAUUAAUGGAAAUUCUUAUUUAAGCAAAGAAUUGUACUAGGUAAAAUAAAACGAAACUCAUGUAUGGCCUGAGUUUGAGUCACGCUAAUCAUAUUUAUUAUUCAAGUUUUAUCUUAUUCUUGUGUUUCAACAAAAAAAAAUGAAAUUUGAAUUGGUAUUUUUAUUUCGAUUAAUUUAUACAUUUCUUUUUAAUAAGUAGUUUGAAUUUUAAUAUAUUUAUUUAGUUAAUUGGAAGAACUGAUUGAAUCGAUAAAAAAAUUUUAAAAAUUAAAAAUUGAAUUUUAGCAGUUACAAUCCUUUCUCAGUGCUGAUAAAAUGCAUGGGGUUGAAGAUUUGAUGAUGAAAAUAUCAUGGAGUCCUUUUUAUUAGGAGUUAUAUUAUAUUUUGUCUCUUCUAUUAGUCCUUGUAUAUUAGAUCAAUAAAAAUUGGUUCUUUUGUUAAAAUUUCUAUUCAUUUUUACAAUUAAAAAUUGGUCAUUGUAUGUCAAAAUGAGGUACACACAUGUAACUGUAUGACUAUUUUGUUAAUCACGUCAGUUUUUAACAAUAAAAAUAGAUGAAAUUUUAAUAGAAAUAAUCAGUUUACUCUUUAAUCUAACGUAUAAUGAAUAAUUUAACUCCUAACGCAUGGACCUCUAUAAUAUUUUUACCAAGAUAUUACUGAUAAAAAUAGAUAAAAAUUAACAUAUAUAUAUACAAAUUAUUUUUUAUUUUUUUAAUAUGUCUUAAAAAAUUAUAAUUAAUACACGUCUAAAUAACUAGAUCUAAAAUUAAAUCAUUACAAUAAUUUAAAAUAGGAAAACAAUGGGUUAAUUAGGGGAAAAAAAAGAAAAAGAAAAAAGAUGGGAAUAUGAAUUAGAGUUUGAUGGUUUAAAGGAACAAGUUGAACAAAGUGUGUGGUUUUUAUCAUGUUUGAUUAACUGUAUUUAGCCUUUAAAUUCAGACAAGUCUCCAAGGUUUCCCAACUAAGCCAACUUUGGAAUUUGGAAAUCCAGCUGCCUUUUUUACUUUAUUAUCAUAUUUAUGUCACAUAAUUAGCCAACUUGAUCUUAAAAUAAUAAUAUUAUUAUUAUUAAGAAAAACUAAUCAUACUUAAUCAAUGAAAUUAAAAUCAGGGUAAUUAUAUAGAAGUGAGCUGGACUCGGUUGAUUUUUUUUUUUUUUGAUUUUUCAAAUUGUUUGUGAUAAUUCGAUUUCAUUCUUUGAUUUUUUUUUAUAAAAUUAAUUUUAGUUUAUUGUUUUUGGAUAUUAUUUAGGAAAAUUUUAAAAACUUUUUAUAAAUAUUUUUUAGAAAACAACCCAUAGCACUUAUAUGGUUUUUUUUCUGUGUAGAGUUUUAAAGUUUUAGUUUGAAUUAAGCUUGUUUAAAUCAGAUCAGAUUGACCAGUCAAAUUUAUUGGAUCGAGAAUCAACUAGGGUACUGGUCUAGAAAAGGGAAUUGUUCUAGUUGAAUUGAAUUUUUAAUAUUUUUAUGAUUUUUUUAAUGAUUUAUUUAAUCGAACCAAUCGAAACGAUUACACCAAUUGGACCUACGAACCAUUGACCUAACUGGUUCUACCGUUGAUCCGAUUUUGAAAACCUUGGUUUGGAGGAUUUAUUUAGCUUUAGUUUGAGUUUAUAUUUGAAGAGGUUAUUAGUAUUAUUUAAACACAAUUAAUACAUCUAAAUAACUACAAUCAUAACCAAUUAUUAUAACGGAAUAUAUUUAGACUUAAACCAAGACCUACACAUAACAAAACUUAAUCCAAAGUAAAUACGAACCUUAAUCUUACUUGUAAAUAUAAAAAUAAAAUAAACAAAAAUUAAUUUCAAUAAUUUUAGUAUAAGGCCAAUUAAAGGUGAAAUGCAAAUUUUAAAAUGGGAAAUUUAAUUAAUUUUAGAAAAGUCCAUGCCUCUUAAAUUAGAUGGUGCAGUCUAUAUGGGAAUUGAAGAAUAUUGUCAAACAAUUCUCUCUCAUCAUUGUUCAACUUGAAUUGCCAUUUUCUAAGAGAUAUUUUAAAAUGGAAAAGAAAAUCUUCCAAGGAGAAUAAGUUACUCAUGAUUUACAUUAUUGAAAAGACCCCAAGAGAGUUGUGAACCAUUACCUUUUUAUGAACCAAUAAUUUUUUGACACACAUAAAUUUUAGAUUUACUGCCUUUCUAAUCACUUGCAAAAAGAUCUAUUUAGUAUUCUUUUUACUUAAUGUUAUAGUAUCGUUAUAGUAACUAAUUUUAUUGUCAUUGUUGUUUUUACACUUAGCACACAUAAACGUGCACCAUUCCGUUUUAUAUGAUUAUCAAUCAAAUAAAAAGUUAUUUUAUGUAUCAAUUCUUACAUCUCCUACUACUGGUGGAGUGACCGCGAGUUUUGGUAUGUUGGGGGAUAUCAUUAUUGUUAAACCCAAUGCCUAUAUUGCAUUUGCGGGUAAAAGAGUAAUUGAGCAAACAUUGAACAAAACAAUACCGGAAGGUUCUCAGGCGGCUGAAUAUUUAUUCCAUAAGGGUUUAUUUGAUCAAAUCGUACCACGUAAUCCUUUAAAAGGUGUUCUGAGUGAGUUAGUUCAGCUCCACGGUUUUUUUCCUUUGAAUCAAAAUUCAAUCAAGUAGAGUCUUAAGUGAAAUUUUUUUAUUUGUAGUGAAAAGGUAGUUAGUUAGUUUAUCAGAAUCAAAGUCAAAGCCCAUUACGCGGGCUUUGACUUUGUGACAAAAAAAGGAAUUGUCGAAAAACAAAUUAUGUGGAUAAUUAUUAUUAUCAUUAUCCGAUAUUACUAAUAAGUAAACCUCUAGCAACAAGAUAAAAAGCGAAUUUUUCCUUCUGUGAAAUGAAAAAUUUGGAGAGACAAAUAAGACGAAUUUUUAUCUUCCUCUAUUGCGUAUGUAUAUAUAAUUUAAAUAGCGAAAAAAAUAGAAUAGAANNNNNNNNNNNNNNNNNNNNNNNNNNNNNNNNNNNNNNNNNNNNNNNNNNNNNNNNNNNNNNNNNNNNNNNNNNNNNNNNNNNNNNNNNNNNNNNNNNNNAAAGGAGGGAAUAGUAUGUAUUUUUCGUUGGGGUUUUCCUGGAAAAAAUCGUCGCAUCUUUCUACGAUUCCUUAUGAAAGAUAUUCAGUCCAUCAGAAUAGAAGUUAAAGAGGGUAUUUAUGCUCGUCAUGUCCUUUAUAUGGAAAUCAGAGGCCAGAGGGCCGUUCCCUUGACUCGUACUGAUGAGAAUUUGACUCCGCGUGAAAUUGAACAAAAAGCUGCUGAAUUGGCCUAUUUUUUGCGUGUACCGAUUGAAGUCUUUUGAAAUGAAUUGCAGAAUAAAAGCUUUCUCGCCGGGAGGAAAAAGCUCAAUCCAAGAAUCCUCUUUUUUCUAUAGCAGAACUAAACUGAAGUUUCUUCAGAAUGCCCAUUCAAACCAAAGCGGACGUAUACGGAAGAGUCAUAACAUAAAAAAACAGUUUUUUUUGUCCACAAAAAUAGUUUUUUAUGCGUCUGUAAAUGUAAAACCGCUCAACUUAAUUCAGUAACAAAAUAAGCAAGAAAUCGAAAUACUGGAUUCAUCUCAUAUAUCAAAGUAUUUCGAAAUAAAGACUUUCGCUUUUUAUUUGCAAUAUUUGGAGUUGAUACGUGAGAUACAGAUAGAUCAUAUCUUGUAAAUUUUCUC